CUGCAAGUUGUUUCCUUUUUCUCUUCAACCCUAAUGCUAUAAAAUAAAACCUGCAAAACACAGAGAAAGGAAGAAAAACGGCCGCACAAACUUUCAUAGAGGCACCAAUCAGUAGCAGCCGCACAAUCAAAUCACAAAAACCCUAAUCCUAUUCUCUCUCCAAAAUCAAACACAACACUCAAAUCCAAACCGAUUUCAACCAACACUUUUCAUGGUUCAACCGAAUCUGUACAUAAGCAUCUCAAGUAAACCAAAUUUCGCACUUAAACAUCACUUUUUCUUUUGAAUCCGUCACUUACAAGCUCGAAUCCGAACCCACAACAACAAGAGUAACGGAUCCGAUCCAACCAAAGGCUCAAUCGCGCUGUUUCAACAAGUAUCAGAACCGAGCUUGAAGAACAAAAGCGAAUUCAAAGUUUAGAGAGGAAUCUUGAAGUUUUCCGUCGCGAUCUAAAUAGGUAACCGGUUGUUUCGUUGUUAUUUUGUGAAUCUGUGUGUGGAAUGAAUUUCUUUUUGAAAAGGUAAAAAAAUAUAGAAAAGUUUGAAACUGAAUCUUCAAGUUUAGAUCUAGGCUUCUGUGUUGUUGUUUUGAAAAUUUUGAGUUGAUAUUUGAGAAGUAGAGAAAAAAGGAUUUUAGAAUAUGUAAAAAGAUUUGAAAUCGGAGAUGUUUCGUAUCUCCGGUACGGCGGCGGCGCCCUGUUGGGCCGGCAAACCACCGCGCCGGAGCGGCGAAACUCGCCGGAGAAGAUGAAGAU
rnacentral:lncRNA from 1 species